rnacentral:rRNA from 1 species
GAGUAUGUCUUGCUCACAGCCGCUGAUGGCAUCGAGUACUCUUUCAUGCUGCUUAUCAUCUAUAUUAGCAUGUGGAGCAUCAAAGUACACACCAUUGCAUCCUCCUCUGGAGGUUGGAGGACCAUCACUUGUGCAAGCCAUUCUAGCUCCCCAUGGAGGUCGGUCGGUCGCUACAGUGAUCCUGCCAUCCUCCGUGGUGGCAUUGUUCACUGGCUAGUGGACCAGGGCAACCAAAUCCUCGCCUAUGACGUGAGAACGGGGAUGUCAGGACUGGUGAAGCUCCCACCUACCAACUGCAAUGCAAGCCAACUCCACUUGACAACAUCGCUGGACGGGAAACUACUAAAACUCCUCGCCAUAGAUGGGUUCAAGAUAUCCGUGUGGCUACAGCUCCCUACAGUCCUGGCCGGUGGUGGUGGCUGGGCAUUGGAAACUGUGAUUGACAUAGAGAAGAAGCUGCAGUCAUUGUACCCAAACCUCCCCGUUAGUGGUUGUCAUGAUGUUCCAGUCGAGUUUAAGGCAUCCGGGAAGAAGGGCAGUGACGUGGUCCUGUUGCGGGUACAGGGUCGAGGUACCGUAGUUCUUGAUUUUGAGACGAUGGAGAUACAUAGGCAUAUGUGGUGCUCCACGUUGCUGGAGAUCGACGUGCCAUCUCACCUACAAAGUAUGAAAGUGUUU